rnacentral:rRNA from 1 species
UUGCCUACGGGAGGCAGCAGUGGGGAAUAUUGCACAAUGGGGGAAACCCUGAUGCAGCAACGCCGCGUGGGUGAAGGAGCGUUUCGGCGCGUAAAGCCCUGUCAGCGGGGAAGAAGAAAGACGGUACCCGACCAAGAAGCCCCGGCUAACUACGUGCCAGCAGCCGCGGUACUACGUAGGGGGCGCGCGUUAUCCGGAAUUACUGGGUGUAUAGGGAGCGUUGACGGCGAGUGAAGCCUGAAGUGGAAGCCCGCGGCCCCACCGCGGAACUGCUUUGGGAACUUGUUUGCUGGAGUAUGGGAGGG